rnacentral:rRNA from 1 species
GAAGGGCGUACUAAUCUGCGAUAAGCGCCGGUAAGGUGAUAUGAACCGUUAUAACCGGCGAUACCCGAAUGGGGAAACCCAGUGUGAUUCGUCACACUAUCAUUAACUGAAUCCAUAGGUUAAUGAGGCGAACCGGGGGAACUGAAACAUCUAAGUACCCCGAGGAAAAGAAAUCAACCGAGAUUCCCCCAGUAGCGGCGAGCGAACGGGGAGGAGCCCAGAGCCUGAAUCAGCAUGUGUGUUAGUGGAAGCGUCUGGAAAGGCGCGCGAUACAGGGUGACAGCCCCGUACACAAAAGCGCAUGUGCUGUGAGCUCGAUGAGUAGGGCGGGACACGUGGUAUCCUGUCUGAAUAUGGGGGGACCAUCCUCCAAGGCUAAAUACUCCUGACUGACCGAUAGUGAACCAGUACCGUGAGGGAAAGGCGAAAAGAACCCCGGCGAGGGGAGUGAAAAAGAACCUGAAACCGUGUACGUACAAGCAGUGGGAGCACCCUUUGGGUGUGACUGCGUACCUUUUGUAUAAUGGGUCAGCGACUUAUAUUCUGUAGCAAGGUUAACCGAAUAGGGGAGCCGGAGGGAAACCGAGUCUUAACCGGGCGUUAAGUUGCAGGGUAUAGACCCGAAACCCGGUGAUCUAGCCAUGGGCAGGUUGAAGGUUGGGUAACACUAACUGGAGGACCGAACCGACUAAUGUUGAAAAAUUAGCGGAUGACCUGUGGCUGGGGGUGAAAGGCCAAUCAAACCGGGAGAUAGCUGGUUCUCCCCGAAAGCUAUUUAGGUAGCGCCUCGUGAAUUCAUCUCCGGGGGUAGAGCACUGUUUCGGCUAGGGGGCCAUCCCGGCUUACCAACCCGAUGCAAACUGCGAAUACCGGAGAAUGUUAUCACGGGAGACACACGGCGGGUGCUAACGUCCGUCGUGAAGAGGGAAACAACCCAGACCGCCAGCUAAGGUCCCAAAGUCAUGGUUAAGUGGGAAACGAUGUGGGAAGGCCCAGACAGCCAGGAUGUUGGCUUAGAAGCAGCCAUCAUUUAAAGAAAGCGUAAUAGCUCACUGGUCGAGUCGGCCUGCGCGGAAGAUGUAACGGGGCUAAACCAUGCACCGAAGCUGCGGCAGCGACACUGUGUGUUGUUGGGUAGGGGAGCGUUCUGUAAGCCUGUGAAGGUGUGUCGUGAGGCAUGCUGGAGGUAUCAGAAGUGCGAAUGCUGACAUAAGUAACGAUAAAGCGGGUGAAAAGCCCGCUCGCCGGAAGACCAAGGGUUCCUGUCCAACGUUAAUCGGGGCAGGGUGAGUCGACCCCUAAGGCGAGGCCGAAAGGCGUAGUCGAUGGGAAACGGGUUAAUAUUCCCGUACUUGGUGUUACUGCGAAGGGGGGACGGAGAAGGCUAUGUUGGCCGGGCGACGGUUGUCCCGGUUUAAGCGUGUAGGUGUGUGUUCCAGGUAAAUCCGGUUCACUUUAACACUGAGGCGUGACGACGAGGCACUACGGUGCUGAAGCAACAAAUGCCCUGCUUCCAGGAAAAGCCUCUAAGCAUCAGGUAACAUCAAAUCGUACCCCAAACCGACACAGGUGGUCAGGUAGAGAAUACCAAGGCGCUUGAGAGAACUCGGGUGAAGGAACUAGGCAAAAUGGUGCCGUAACUUCGGGAGAAGGCACGCUGACACGUAGGUGAAGUGAUUUACUCAUGGAGCUGAAGUCAGUCGAAGAUACCAGCUGGCUGCAACUGUUUAUUAAAAACACAGCACUGUGCAAACACGAAAGUGGACGUAUACGGUGUGACGCCUGCCCGGUGCCGGAAGGUUAAUUGAUGGGGUCAGCGCAAGCGAAGCUCCUGAUCGAAGCCCCGGUAAACGGCGGCCGUAACUAUAACGGUCCUAAGGUAGCGAAAUUCCUUGUCGGGUAAGUUCCGACCUGCACGAAUGGCGUAAUGAUGGCCAGGCUGUCUCCACCCGAGACUCAGUGAAAUUGAACUCGCUGUGAAGAUGCAGUGUACCCGCGGCAAGACGGAAAGACCCCGUGAACCUUUACUAUAGCUUGACACUGAACAUUGAGCCUUGAUGUGUAGGAUAGGUGGGAGGCUUUGAAGUGUGGACGCCAGUCUGCAUGGAGCCGACCUUGAAAUACCACCCUUUAAUGUUUGAUGUUCUAACGUGGACCCGUUACCCGGGUUGCGGACAGUGUCUGGUGGGUAGUUUGACUGGGGCGGUCUCCUCCUAAAGAGUAACGGAGGAGCACGAAGGUUGGCUAAUCCUGGUCGGACAUCAGGAGGUUAGUGCAAUGGCAUAAGCCAGCUUGACUGCGAGCGUGACGGCGCGAGCAGGUGCGAAAGCAGGUCAUAGUGAUCCGGUGGUUCUGAAUGGAAGGGCCAUCGCUCAACGGAUAAAAGGUACUCCGGGGAUAACAGGCUGAUACCGCCCAAGAGUUCAUAUCGACGGCGGUGUUUGGCACCUCGAUGUCGGCUCAUCACAUCCUGGGGCUGAAGUAGGUCCCAAGGGUAUGGCUGUUCGCCAUUUAAAGUGGUACGCGAGCUGGGUUUAGAACGUCGUGAGACAGUUCGGUCCCUAUCUGCCGUGGGCGCUGGAGAACUGAGGGGGGCUGCUCCUAGUACGAGAGGACCGGAGUGGACGCAUCACUGGUGUUCGGGUUGUCAUGCCAAUGGCACUGCCCGGUAGCUAAAUGCGGAAGAGAUAAGUGCUGAAAGCAUCUAAGCACGAAACUUGCCCCGA